AUCCUCAGUGUUCUGUGUCCUGUGCUUAUAGAGGCCCGUCCUCUGUGGCCGUGUGACCUGCAAGUAUUGGGAGAGCCACAGCUAAACCCCGGGACCCCUGGAAGCCUAGAAAUGGGACCAUUGCAAUUUAGAGAUGUGGCCAUAGAAUUCUCUCUGGAGGAGUGGCAUUGCCUGGACACUGCACAGCGGAAUUUAUAUAGGGAUGUGAUGUUAGAGAACUACAGAAACUUGGUCUUCCUUGGUAUUAUUGUCUCUAAGCCAGACCUGAUCAC
rnacentral:lncRNA from 1 species